GAUGAACGCUGGCGGCGUGCCUAAUACAUGCCAGUCGAGCGAACGGACGAGAAGCUUGCUUUUCUGAUGUUAGCGGCGGACGGGUGAGUAACACGUGGAUAACCUACCUAUAAGACUGGGAUAACUUCGGGAAACCGGAGCUAAUACCGGAUAAUAUUUUGAACCGCAUGGUUCAAAAGUGAAAGACGGUCUUGCUGUCACUUAUAGAUGGAUCCGCGCUGCAUUAGCUAGUUGGUAAGGUAACGGCUUACCAAGGCAACGAUGCAUAGCCGACCUGAGAGGGUGAUCGGCCACACUGGAACUGAGACACGGUCCAGACUCCUACGGGAGGUAGCAGUAGGGAAUCUUCCGCAAUGGGCGAAAGCCUGACGGAGCAACGCCGCGUGAGUGAUGAAGGUCUUCGGAUCGUAAAACUCUGUUAUUAGGGAAGAACAUAUGUGUAAGUAACUGUGCACAUCUUGACGGUACCUAAUCAGAAAGCCACGGCUAACUACGUG
rnacentral:rRNA from 1 species